rnacentral:rRNA from 1 species
AGCGAACGCUGGCGGCAGGCCUAACACAUGCAAGUCGAACGAACUCUUCGGAGUUAGUGGCGGACGGGUGAGUAACACGUGGGAACGUGCCUUUUGGUUCGGAAUAACUCAGGGAAACUUGUGCUAAUACCGAAUGUGCCCUUCGGGGGUAAGAUUUAUCGCCAUUAGAGCGGCCCGCGUCUGAUUAGCUAGUUGGUGAGGUAACGGCUCACCAAGGCGACGAUCAGUAGCUGGUCUGAGAGGAUGACCAGCCACGCUGGGACUGAGACACGGCCCAGACUCCUACGGGAGGGAGCAGUGGGGAAUCUUGCGCAAGGGGCGAAAGCCUGACGCAGCCAUGCCGCGUGAAUGAUGAAGGUCUUAGGAUUGUAAAAUUCUUUCACCGGGGACGAUAAUGACGGUACCCGGAGAAGAAGCCCCGGCUAACUUCGUG